UACGUAGGUGGCAAGCGUUAUCCGGAUUUAUUGGGUUUAAAGGGUGCGUAGGCGGUUAAAUAAGUCAGUGGUGAAAGACUCCGGCUCAACCGGAGCAUUGCCAUUGAUACUGUGUAGCUAGAGUACAGUAGAGGUAGGCGGAAUUUAUGGUGUAGCGGUGAAAUGCAUAGAUACCAUAAAGAACACCGAUUGCGUAGGCAGCUUACUGGACUGUAACUGACGCUGAGGCACGAAAGUGCGGGUAUCAAACAGG
rnacentral:rRNA from 1 species